rnacentral:tRNA from 1 species
GCCUCUGUAGCUCAGCUGGUUAGAGCGCUGCACCGGAAUCGCAGGGCCGUAGGUUCGAUUCCUAUCAGAGGAC